UCUUAGGGAUUAAUUAAUUUUGAAAUGCAUCAUGCGUACCUGCCUCAUAGAACAAUGAUUCAAUGAACAAAUCAAUUUUUCCAUGGGACCUUUUACGCAUAUGAAUUCGUGAAAGCAUGUCGGACUAUUCGUAUACCAGACUAGUGAUCAUUUCAUUACUUGGAGAUUCAACCCCAUUGUAUUUUUGCCCCUCUUGUUUCCAGAUGGCAAUACCGACAUCGCAGUUCGCCCUGAUGGAGGACCUCAAAGCCACAGAGAUUUAGGAAGUUGAACAUGGCAGAUGGAGUAUCUAAGGUGGAGAGCCGUUAUCCUUGUAGGAUAUAUUUUCAAACCUCCUUCAGUAGGAGUUACUCGUGCUUGCAAGUUCUGUAGAGUCCCCUUGGUGUAGGCUGAGAUAAGUGAUGGGAUACUUGAGUGCUUACUGCUAAGUAUUGGCAAAAUUUUGUUAUAGUUUCGAAAGUAA